rnacentral:rRNA from 1 species
GAUGAACGCUGGCGGCGUGCCUAACACAUGCAAGUCGAACGCUCGCAAGAGAGUGGCGCACGGGUGAGUAACACGUAGCUAAUCUGCCCUCAAGACAAGGAUAACUGUAGGAAACUACUGCUAAUACUUGAUAAGCUUACGGACUGUAGAGGUCUAUAAGAAAAGAUUUAUCGCUUGAGGAUGAGGCUGCGCGCCAUCAGCUAGUUGGUAAGGUAAUGGCUUACCAAGGCGACGACGGCUAGGGGACCUGAGAGGGUGACCCCCCACACUGGGACGU